CAAAGUCAAAAACUCUGAGCUCCAGAACGAUCGGUUAGAAAUUCAACAUGCAGCUUUCCGUUGUCGUUUUCGGGCUUGUAGUGCUUGCCGCAGUGCUGGUAAAAUCAGGAGAUGCGAGGGCUUCACCUUCAAAAGAUGAGCUGCUGGAUGAAUUGACUGAGGAAUUACUGGCUAGAUAUGUGGAAAGAAGGAACCAAGAAAGAAAUCUGCAGAGCACCAACACACGAGGUCUUGUAGGUCCUGUGCGUCGUUGGUGGGGUGGGAGUUCUUCUUCACACACUACUAACACACAAAAUCUUGGACCUCAACAUACAGGCAAUAGUGGAUUCAUCGGCGGUAUAGGUGGUGAUUUCACAGGAGGUAAUAUUCAUAACAGCCAAGGAAGGAAAUAGGUAUAGAUCAACGGAUUGCAUGACGAAAGAAAAUGUUAAAAAGAAAAUGAAGAAAAGCGGUGAAAAUUUAAAUCCAUCAAAAUGACAAAACUAAAUCGACGUAAACUCAUUGUCAUAUGAUAUAAGAUGUUAUGUUAGCGUGAUACGAAAUAUACCAGGAUAAUUUUGGACUUGAUUUUGCUGAUUUGUUACCUUUUUUUUAUUCUAUUACAAUAAAUAUACUUUAUCAUAUUUCCUUGUUAUCUAAAGUUUUGCUUUUACUUAUCUUGAAGUAGUUAUAGUUUUGUACUAGGUUGCGACUUCAUACUUGAAUCACUAUACAUAAAAACGUGCGUCUUCUAAAGUUGUCCAAUCGCCUGCUACAGUUAAAUUUUACAAAUAAGGCUAGAUUGCUAUUUUCUGAAAUUUAACACCCCAGAUUCUAUAAAUUUACUUCAUGCAUGCGCACAUACACGUAUGAUAUCGCAACCUAUCUUAUGUAUGUAUAUAUGUUAUUUCAAUCUGCUGCUUCUUCGAUAUUAUAUUGAGUGUUUUCAUUUCCACCUUUACGAGACAUAUUCACAAAUUUGGUCAAGACAAGUUAAUUUCAACUGGCACUUGGUCGUACAUUAUAUCUUUUCAAAAAAUAGAAUAUCAAUAUACAAUAUUUUCAAGACGAUUAAAAUUUUGAAAAGAAAAAAUGAAACUCUAAAACGUUCGAUAAUUGUUUAUAUAAAUGUUAUGUUUCAAAAUGAAAGAUGUCAAAUUUUUCGUGUAUGAAGACAUUUUAUAUUUUUUACCAAAGUUGUGGACAAGUAAAUUCCAUGAGAUUUAAUAUUCUCCAAUUCUUUGCAAUUUACUUUAUAUCUAUUAAUAAUAUGUUCUACAUA